GACUGUUUGGCCGAGUGGUUAAGGCGCUAGCUUCAGGACAACGGGCUUCCGUCUUCUGGAAUUGCUAGUCACUUCGGUGGCGUGGGUUCGAGUCCCACAGCAGUCA
rnacentral:tRNA from 1 species